AGGACAUGGGCUGUUCUUGAGUGAAAACAUUAUAAAGCAGCUUUGGAGACUGAAUUCAUAGGUGAAGCAAAGUUUUUCGACUAGGACAAGACAAACAAUUAUUUUUCACUUAAAAAAAAAAAAACAACAACAACAACACCUCAAUCCUACAGGGUCCAGAUGCCUGAAAACGUUCCAGCACACGAUCAACUAAUUCUUGAAGCCUAAAGAAAUUGAAGAAAAAAGUAUAGAAAUCUUAGCAAACUCCUGAACUCCUGAUUACUAAUUCAACAAUGUGUUGGGAGCAUCUGUACCAUGCCAACCACUGAACAAACUCUGCACCCCCCCAAAAAAAGAGGAAUAAGUAAUGCACAGACAGGGUGAGUUGCUCAAAAUCAGUGAGAAGAAUCAGAAUCCAAGUUUCCUGGCAGCUGGCUCUGCUCUGUCACCAAUUCACCAUGUGCUCCAUGAAGGCUGGCUCUGUGUUUUACUCACUGCUUAAUGCCCACACCUAAAUUAAUGCCGAAAUGAAACAUUAAUUAACUGUUCAAUAAACAGUUGUUG